UAAGGACUUAUCCCUUGGCAAAAGCUAGGACAACUCGUACAACCAUGAGGGCUAUAUGGCUCUGGUUUUAGCUCAGUAUGAGGACCUUUUUCUAGCUUGUUAGCGGUUACCUUAAAUGGCGUAAGAAUGGCUAGACACGUUGGGUAUAGUGUGGCCUCUGUCCAUGUGUAUAGGCUGCGAGUUAUGUGCCAUGGAAGGGGGGGCUCUAUAUCUGCCUGCCGAGUGAAUCUAAUGGCCCUAACUUGUUAGACGAAACCUUUGAAAGGCUUCAUAGUGAUCCCUGCCGACCUCCCUUGGAAGGG
rnacentral:lncRNA from 1 species